AUUGAACGCUGGCGGCAGGCCUAACACAUGCAAGUCGAACGAGUGGCGGACGGGUGAGUAAUGUAUGGGAAACUGCCCGAUGGAGGGGGAUAACUACUGGAAACGGUAGCUAAUACCGCAUACCAUCGGAUGUGCCCAGAUGGGAUUAGCUAGUAGGUGGGGUAAAGGCUCACCUAGGCGACGAUCCCUAGCUGGUCUGAGAGGAUGACCAGCCACACUGGAACUGAGACACGGUCCAGACUCCUACGGGAGGCAGCAGUGGGGAAUAUUGCACAAUGGGCGCAAGCCUGAUGCAGCCAUGCCGCGUGUAUGAAGAAGGCCUUCGGGUUGUAAAGUACUUUCAGCGGGGAGGCGUUACCCGCAGAAGAAGCACCGGCUAACUCCGUGCCAGCAGCCGCGGUAAUAC
rnacentral:rRNA from 1 species